GACGAACCGUGCGAACGUUGUUCGGAAUCACUGGGCUUAAAGGGCGCGUAGGCGGCGUGCGAGGUCGGGGGUGAAAUCCCACAGCUUAACUGUGGAAGAGCCUUCGAUACCGGCACGCUGGAGGAAGGUAGGGGUGCGCGGAACUUCUGGUGGAGCGGUGAAAUGCGUUGAUAUCAGAAGGAACGCCGGCGGCGAAAGCGGCGCACUGGACCUUUUCUGACGCUGAGGCGCGAAAGCCAGGGGAGCAAACGGG
rnacentral:rRNA from 1 species